UAGAAGCGCAAUGAUAUGUAGCAACCUGGGGGCAUGCAAUUUUAGGGGCGUGUGGUGAUCGUUUUGCCAGGGGAGAGAACCGUGGCACCUUAAGGAGGAAAUCAUGGUGUGUAAUGGAUAAUGAUGGCCUGUUCUAUUGUCUGUUUGGCACGCUUCGUGGCGAUUGCCAUGUUGAAAACUAUUUUGGCUAGCUGAGUUUGAGAAGAAGUAAUAAAUUAGUAAAGUUGAGGAUGUGCCCUGAUUGAUUUUUCUCUGAUUGUUGCGUCUGGAAUUGUAGGCAGCUGGAUGUUCUCUCUAGAGGAAAUGGAAGCAUGUACAGUAGUAGGCAGCAGCUUUGGCUCAAAGUCUGAACACUUGCAAGUACUAUCAUGCUUGCAAAAUUCGUUAUUUCUUAGUCAUGUGUCCAUCUAAGGACUCCAGCUACGGAACCUUGUUAUUUCUAGCUUAAGUUAUGCUGCGUUAUAGUUUGUGUAUGACAAAACUCAAAGGUCUGAGUGGACGACCACAUUUCUAUUAUGCUUCUAUCCAAUAGAAUUUAUUAAUCAAAAUUAUUAAUCAUUUAUGUUAUACAAUGUUUAGAAUAUUAGGAAAUACGCAAGCCAGAAAUUUUUGCCAGGAAUUAAAUAAAUGGUGUGCAAUUUAACACAUCACGGCCUACUAGAGGAUAGUGGUAUUCCGAGCCCAUGAGGGUUCAAAUCUUGAUUCACGCAUCUUCAUGUAUUUAUCAUCUUCCUGCAUUCAUUCAGCGGGAGGAGACGUUCCCAUCGACUAUGAGGCGUCUGUGGUGACAUUGUCAAUCUCAACAUGAUAUGUUGACUCAAUUCUCUUGAAGGUGCUCAUAUAGAUAGGGUGUGCGUGUGUGUUUAUAGGAGUGAGUGUAUGCGUGUAUAUAUGAGUGUCUGCGUCUGUAGCGUGUCUCGGAAAAAACAUAUUCCAUAGACAUCUCUCAAGUGCCUUGUUACUAAGAGACACACGCAUCAUCUACUUCAUAUAUCCGAGGGUGAAUCUUCUUCUUAACACAUGUCCACUUGGUGCAUUCGAGGAUGGUAUACUACCUCCCUCAUGCAUGCUUAGAUUUGAGCAGUGCUUCACACAUGUCGAGGAGUUCAAAUGCAAGAGAACAACUACACCAUCCAAUAGGGAAACUUAGAAGUGAAGAAGAAUCCACAAAGGCCAAGUUGACCCCCAAGGGAAGUCCAAGUGAGGAAUGGUGCCUCCUCUGGCCACCCUGGGUCCCCGAGCCUCCAUACCUCGGGUGUCCAGACUUACCUGCGUGUAAGAGUUGGGUAUCGACUAUGUAUCUUUACCCUUUCACCCCUCACUUACCCCUUCAUGCCUUGGGCAUAUACAUAUUCGUCCUCCUCCUCCUCCAUUUUAGGGUUAGCUAAGAAUAGAGAGAGAAAAGAGACUUAGCUCAUGUAUCUUCUCCUGUGUGAUUCCUCUUGAGAGAGAAGACUCCAUGGAAGUAGAAGGCCACCUAAGGAUGUAGGCUUUAUUGGAGUACAUGGCCUCCCAAGGGAAGAACCAUUAGGGUUUCAAGGCCUCCUAAGGGAGAAGAAUUCCCCAAGUGAAUCAUCAAGACCCAUCUCUCCUAGAGAUUUGAAUGAAGUACCUUUGUAUCUUUUCUGAGUAAUUUUAACAUGCUCCCUCUUACCCCCUCUUAUCAUAUAGGAGGCAAGAAGGUAAGAGUUAACCAGACCACUACUUAAUCAAACCAAUGGCUCAGAUCUAUUAUGAACUCUUACCUCUCAUGUGAAAAGGGAAGGUAAGAGGGACCAUGCUAAAAUUUGCCAUCUUUCUUUUCUUGUUGUUGAAAAUGUUUGUGAUUAUCUCUUUGACCUUCGAUUUGAGUAGUUGGCAUAGAUUUGCUUCUGUGAGUCCCUCGAAAAAGGAAGGAAAAAACGUGUGUUUUUUCUUGCUUUCGCGGGACGCACAUAUUUGCUUCUCAUGAAGACACAAAUUUGUUUCCGCGAGAGGCAUAGUUGUGCCUCUCGGAAAGGAAAAGAAGUGUGGGGAAAACCGUGCUUCUGGUUUGAAUUUUUGUUGGGUUUAUUCGUGAAAGGUAAUUCAUCGAAACCUAUUAAUACGGAAUCUAAUUUCGAGAUCUCGACGUGAGAAAUCCAACAACAAAAACCAUACAUGAUUUGGACGCACAAUUUAAGAGAUGAAAUAUUUUGAAUAAAUGAAUCUACGGAAAAAUGACGUCAAAGACGAGAGCUUCUCCUUUAGCAUAGGGUGGUCGGGCCAGCCGAGCCUGCCAGGUUGCGACAAUGUGUGCCACUUGUCACAACCUAGGAAUAUGAGAAUUACCUUUAAAAAUGUAUUCCUUAAUUAGUGAUUUCGUCAACUUUGGCACGUACGCACACGUUGCUGUGUGCCCGGUCAUGACACGCGCUUUCCUGUUGUGUUGCGCGGAGCUCCUAUAUGGCACGCUAUACGCCGCGCGAUCCAGUCAACGCGCAAUCCCCUUCCUCAUGUGCCCCUUUUAGGACUGCCCAUGAGUUGGGCGAGACGCGGCCUACUUUUUCCAUUUUGUUUUUUUUUGCCUUUUGUUUUCAUUUUAUAUUUUUUCCCUUUUUAAAAAUAAAUCAAGAAGUCAAAAAAGUUCUCAAUUUCAUAAAAAUCGUGAAUUCUAAAAAAUGUUUGUGGAUUAAAAAAAUGUUUGUCAUUUUGAAAAAAUACGUAUUAAAAAAAUCAUGAUUUCAAACAAAAUGUUCACUAAUUUAAAAAAACCAUGAAUUUAUACACAGAGUUCACAAAAAUCAUAAAAAUGUGAAUUACAAAAAAAAUCAUCAAUUCAGAAAAUGUUAUACAUUUAAAAAAAUGCUCGUCAAACAGAAAAUGUUCAUGAAUUUUCAAAAUUGUUCUGAAAUUUCUAAAAAUAUUCACGAGUUUCAAAAAAUGUUCACAAUUUUAGGGAAAUGUUUGAAUUCGAAAUUAUUCAAAAAUGUGUAAAAAGUGUUCACAAUUUCAUAAAUUAAUGUUCGCUAAAUCUUUAAAUGGAAAAAAAGGAAAAAUAGAAAAGGAAAAAAGGAAAGAAAAAUAGAAAGAAUAGGAAAAAAACUAACAUUAAAAACGAAAAAAAUGAAAAUGAAAAAAGAAAGGAAAUAAAAAAAAUGAAAAAAGCAGGAAAAAACCCCCGAAAGAAAACACAAAAAACCGGUCUGGGAGGUUCUAGAACCUUCCCAAAGCCGGAAAGGAGCUACUUGGGCAGGCCCAAAAUGUGUACAAAUAUCUGGAGUAGCAUUGCACUGACAGAACAGCAUUGCUGGAGCAAAUUUGGGACAUGACUGCUACUGGAUUACAUAACCGCCGCAUUUUAAAGGCCAAUCAAGCCAUAACCCAGAGCUGAACCAAUGGUGUGAAUAUAGAUUUAUUUUUUGUAACAAGCUGCUCUUCCUCUGAAAUGGCUUUAUUACUGCCCUAGAAACGUAAAGGGUCAUGCGAUCCUGUCUUAUAUCAAAACUAAGCACUAGCCCCGACAUGCCUAUUUCACCGAGCCUCUCUCCAAGAGAUCGGCCCCAGUCAUCAGUUCAAGCACGGUUCAGGUGCAUACAGAUGGGAUCUCAAUUACUCCCUCCAUUCACUUUUGUAAGUCGUUUCAGACAACUCAAAAUAGGCUGUUUUGCAUAUUGUCUGAAAUGUCUUCAAGGUCUUAUAAAAGUGAACAGAGGGAGUAGUAAAGAAGAAGAAAAUUGAAAGUUUCCCAGCAACCAUAAUUCAGUUCAAACCGAAACUUCCUCCACCAGUCUUCUAACCAAACUCUACAAUAACUUUGCUAAUGCGAAAUGCUAGAAUGAAGAGCUUGUCCUGCAGGUGGCUCUGCUGAAACUAUUGCUGUACUUGUGGCUGCACUGGCUUCCUUAGACAAUUCAAGAUGGUGAUAAUCUGUUUCUCGUAUUGAGGAACUCUGUCCCUCAUAGCAGGUUGGAUGAUACUCUUACUAAUCUGCAGCAUUUGUAAUAUACGUUCCAGCAUCGUUUUAAAGCUCUUCAUUCUAUCAUACUGCUCGGAUGGAAUCGGAGGUCGUAUCAUGCUCUCGACAUGCUGUAGCUUCACACAUACCUUAUUGAACAGUUCGCUGAGGUCUGCAAAGUAUUGGUCCUUCAUGAUCUUGACCUGUCAAAAACAUAAACACAUAAAUCUGGUGCAGAAACUAUAUAGAGAUUAAAACAGAAAAGCUAGCUAGUAGGCCGUGGUAUGUCUUACCAUUUGAUAUAUCUCCUCUUGCCAAUAAUCUGCAUCUUCAUCUUCAUCACCUGUUUGAGCAGUAGAGUCCGCAGAUGCUGCACAAAAAGCAAGGUAGUCGAAGAGUAUCACAAUACAAUGAACAAACCAACAAAUAAGCAGCUACAAGUACAUUGUAGGAUAGAAUGCAGGGGCAAAUUGGAAAACUUGUGAACCAAAUCAAACAAUCACAUAAGAUCAAUAUGGUCAGCUAUAGUCAUCAUGAUUAUUGCACAGUAGCACUUUCCCAGAAAAUAAGAAAUCCCAAUGUGCUGAACAGAAGUCACAGAAGAUCAGUAGGGUCAGUUUAGUCAACAUGAUGAUUACAGAGUACUGAUCACUAAACAUUGCAAUAUAUCAUUCCAUCUUCAAGCUGUCCUUCUAUCUACCGUAGUUUAGGCAAAAGGAGAGUGAAAUGAAGCUUUGAAGCUUUAGGACUAACUUCACACCCCUCGAUAGUUCUAGGACCUGUGGCGCACUUCACUUGUCAAAAAACAUAUAAUUGCAUCUGAAUUAUGAAUCUCGUUGUCAUCUUCAAAGAAGUUUCAAAGAUUUAAAGCUAGUUCAUGUAGCAUAAACAUUAACUUCAUAAAAAACUCAGUGCAAUGAUGCCCGUUGCAUCUAAAACAUGCCACCUAGGCAAACGUCCAAAUACCAUUGGGGAAGAAGCCUAGUUAGUGAGGAAAAAGAGAGAUGUUGUAUCUUAUGAAGAUACAGCUCUUAUCAGGUAACCCAGGAUAAUUAUUUUUUUCUCCACAGAACAUAUUAAAUGGCAGCUCCAUUAGAUAUAACACUAAGAUAUAAGUCAUUGGAAGAGUUAUAUCUAAACACACAUUUAAUGCAUAUGAUACAAUGAAGAUACAAUGCGCCGGGAGUGCCCUAAGGGUUCAAUAAGAGUUAGGAUCCAAGAAUUCAGGUUGUAUUAUAGUCCAACAGAACUGUUAGCACAAUAAGUAAGGGUGUGGGGUCCUGAUGAACAACACACAUUUUCCCCUAAACUUUUCUAUGCAAGUAAGGCGAAAAUGAUAAGAGACAAGAUCGAUAAGCUGGUUUAAACUGCACAAGGAAUGUAAGGCCACAACAGGAAGAUGGAUAUAAGAACAGAGAGAAAAAGAAGACGAGAACAAUAAGAGCAUACGAUGGAUCUCAUAAAGAAAGUAUAUGUGAAAACUUACUACUAGAGGAAACUUCUUGAAGGCCCCUCUGUGCCUGAAUCGGAUCCAUGUUAUUUUGUUGCAAGAGCAUGCCUCCUGAAGCUUGAAGUCGUCGUUGCAUGGAGGAUUGCGGCUGCAUCCCUGAUUGAUGUUGUAGUUGGUUAGGCUGAGAUUGGAAUUGUGACAUAAGAUGCUGUUGCGACUGUUGGAGUUGGUUGUGUUGAGACUGAGGUUGCAUUGGUGGCUGCUGAGCAUGCUGUUGUUCCUGUGGUUGCUGAGCUUCUGUGUGUAGCAUAUGCAUCCGAUGCAUGUUUGACACAUUAGGCACAGUUCCAAGAAGUUGCUGAUGCUGUAGACUCACCAUGUAUGCCUGAGAGCCCAAUUGAUGUGGCUGAUGCAGAGGCAUAUACUGCUGAUUCAACAUCUGCUGUGUUUGCUGCACAUUCAAAAGAUUAUUUGACUGAACUGGUAGCCUCUGUUGCUCCUGCAUUUCCACAGCACCAUUCUGUUGUAAAUUUGGCUGGUGUCCCAUCAACUGCUGCUGCUGCUGCUGCUGCUGUAAAAGAAUAUUGAGCUGCUGACUCUGCAGUGAAGGUUGUUGAUGAAUGGAGGGAUGUGCUUGUCGCUGCUGCCUCCCAACAGUUUGUUGAGGUUGCUGGAGUAAUGAUUGCACAGAUUGUUGUACGGGAUUCAAUUGAUUCUGUUGGGACUGUUGUUCAGACAUCAAAGGAAUGGCUGAUGUCUGUGCUUGAUUUCCGCCUUGUGGAGGGAGUGCAGGAGCUGUUUCAGAAAAGGUACCAUAUGUGUGUUAAGAAAGUAUCUUGUGAACAAAUACGUCUUGUGGAACUAUAACAGGCACACAAAGCGCUGAAAGCGGCAUCUUACAGAUCAAAUUAAGACCUGCAUUUUCAAUGAGAAAAAUAAAUGUACCAAAGCAAUUAAAGGGCUGGCAACCAGAUUUGCUUGCAAACAAGUGUUUGCAAUUCUCUUCAAUAAGAUAGAGUCAACGUAAAUACAGUUGAGAGCUGACCAACUGAUUUAACAACUAAUGGUUAGUUCCUUUGUACCAAGCUGAGAGCUGACUGACUAAUUUGAGAAGUAGUAGCAAGGAGAGAAGAAACAUAAUUCUACAAAGUGUUGAAGAUGGUCCAAUGUUACUGUAACUUAACGGUUGCAGCAUUGCAAACUAACUCCAACAUAAAACUAAGUUAGAUUUAGGCCCAGUUCUUUUGCGGCUUACAAAAUAAGCCGCCACCUCCCCAGCUCUCCCAUAAGCCGGCUUAAUCAUUUCAUGAGUGUAAAUUGACAUCCAAGCAAAGAUGAUAAAUUGUGCAACACUCAGUUUACCGUAUAUGGUACCUUACCUGAGUUGUUUUGAUUUGGAAUCACUUGAGCAUUUCCAGGAGCCAGUUGUCUGCUCGUCUCCAUAGAGACCAUUUUCAGAGAAAUCUUCCGCACAUAAUCAGACUGAGUAAUACAAAAGAAAAUGAUGUAAAGUUCUAUACCAAAUUACUAAUGGUGGCUUGCGACCAACAGUUCCUGUGUGAUUAGUGGUUUAGCACGGUCAAGAAGGUGUUUCAGCUUUUAACAUUUUAAUUAAAAAAAUGUCAUCUAAGCAGAGAAACACAAUGCCUCAAGUAAGCGAUAUGAACAGAAAAUCCAAAUAAAAAAUAGUGACAGUGUGCCCCAACUUUAUCAACUAAACAAAUAUUCAGCAUAAGUGAGUUAGGCAAAAAUGAUGAAGAGUUGCAGAUUGCUCCUAGGUUUGCCACAAAUAAGCCACGAACAGAAAUAUUCCGCACAUAUUCAGCAUAAGUAAGGUAUUAUUUGAUGUUCGGUCCGAGAUAAAUGAUUGUUAGGGUGGGAACUCCUAAAAAGGUACUAAAACGUUAUGUAAAAAUUAUUCUAUGCCAGUUGGAGCCCAUUACUAAUGUGUGGUCUGCUCCGAAGAAGGUACCUGAUUGGUUGCUUCAGUGUAGAUCUUGUCUUCGAAUUGCCUGGCGAUUUCUUGAAGUUCGAUCAGUUCGUCUGGCACCGAUACUGGCAGGAUCUUCCUCAGAGUCUCCAAUCUACACGCAUAAUAAUAAUAAUAAUAAUAAUAAUACAAAAUGUGAAUAAAUCGGGUGCGGGGGAUGCAUUGCUUCUCAACUGUUGUGUGCGACAAAAUAUAUAUAGUUAAGAAUUAGAGACAUAUUCUGUCGCACACAACAGUUUCUCGUAUAUACUCCCUCCAUUCGUGCAAGCAAGGUGUAAUUUAUGUUUUGCUAAAAAAGGACCAAGGAGAAGGAGUCAUGACUUGUGAUCAUGUGCAUAAUAUAAUAUCCUUGGGGAAGCUAGCACACGAGAAACCCUGGUUUCAGAACAGAACUAGUAGAAUGGUUUGCCCUAGGUGAUCAUCAAAUCUGCAGCUCCCGGUCAGUAAACUUGUGUUAAAUUGUUCAGAGUUGAUGAAGUGGUUAAGCUGGAUUCAAAGCAGCGUGGGAUUGAUUUUGACCAGGAAUCAAGCAGAGGCGCUGAAACUGAGAGCUAGCUAGAUCGACGACGGACGAAUCUGCUGCUGCCGCUAUUUGGUGGAUCAAAGCUAAAUAUCAGAUGGAUCGAUGUAAAAAAAAAUCCUCUUUUUUCUGCCGCUAUGGAAGGGGAAAUCGGAUGAACACCAAAUCGAAUAAAUUAGAGCGAGUCCCCAGCGUGAGCGUGCAUACAUCUUAUUGACGACCCUGCUGCGCGCCUCGGGCUGGAGCUGGGCGCGCCAAUCGCCUACGGCGGCGGCGGCGGCGGGGUCCGGCCCUUGGGUGGGCCGCCAGUUGGCGUCCAUGGCCCGGAUCGGCGAUUGGUGUAUGCUGCUUGCUUAGGUCGUCAAGGGGAUGGAGGUGGAGGGGGAGGCGCCCGCGUCCGCCAACGCCUCCGCUUGACUACUGGCUUGGUUGGAUGGAGGUGGUGGUGGUCUCGUCGGCGGCGCGACGGACUGGGGUGCUUUCCUAACUUGACCGCCGCCGUCUCCUUAAAACUCGUCUCUCUCCUCCAAGUUUUGCAAGUUAUUUUAGCUUGCAAAACCACCUUAUAUUAUGGAACGGGGGAAUAUAUGUUAAAAAAAUAGGUAUAUUCGUGUUUUGACACAAGCGAUUAUAUACACGCGCAUACGCUUAUCCUUAUGAACACACGCAUAUUCUACCUCUAUGAACAUAUUUAAAAAACUUAAUCGACAUAUCAUCUUUAAAUUUACGAAGUCAUUGGAGGCACCUUGUCAUCGACGGGAACGUCUCCUCCCACUAAACGUCUUCUCCAACAGGAACGGUCGAAAUGCCGGUCACGCUAUGCACAUAUGAUUAGCGUGAUUAUAGCCGCACAGUAUCCUUUCUCCCUAACUGUUCUUUUCAUAAAAAUAACAAAAGGAAAGCCAUGGCGCCAACACCCCUUGAUCCUCCCAGACGCCAGCAAGCUCGUCGACCGUUCUCUACCCGCUUGCCCUGUCGCUACCCUUGCCGUCAGUGGUCGCCCUCGCAACAUGGGUGGGCAGUCAACGCCGCCGAGGGCGGGGUCCGACCCAUGAUGUCUACUCCUUCCGUUCCAAAUUACUCGUUGCAGAAAUGGAUGUAUCUAAAACUAAAAUACAUCUAGAUACAUCCAUACCUGUGACAAGUAAUUCAGAACGGAGGGAGUAGAUGAUAGAUAGAUAUUUCAGCUUUGCUAGCUAAUUCGAAGAUACGCCAUGGAAUCUUCUACAACACCUUAUACCAUUGUACAAUCACCUCACGACUCAGUUUGUGCACAUAGAAGGAUACACUGCAGUUUCGAUAGGCUCUUUCCCGGAUGUAUUGUCAGAACCCAUUUGUAGGUAUUGUAAUGGUGUACGCUAAAAAUGGUAUUGUAAUGAUGCACUCUCUUAAUUAGUAAAAUCUUUUUACCUCAUAAAAAAGAACGUAAGAAAACCGUUCUCACAAAACAAGAAAAGAAUGUUAGAUGACCAAACGGUGGCAAACCAGGCGCCUAGAGCCUAGGUAUUUGAUCAAGCCGAGAAUAGGGGAUGAAACAACAACUCAUAAUGUUUGCUCAGAUCAUAAAAGCGUAACAUCAUCACCUUGAUAAGCUAGCCACUGUCACACUAACAACGACAUGUCCACAAGCAUCCUCAGUGUCUUGGCCACCUGCUCACUAGGUUUUGUACGAAAAAGGAGAUUGUCCUAACUCUAAGAGAAGAGUAGCAGUAGGUGUCCACACAAAUGAAUCGCGAGCAGAAGAGUAUCCAACUCCCAAUGCAAUAGAAAACAGAGCAAAUAAAAAAUUUGCCAUUGCCUACAAUGAAUAGGCACUAGACCCCCGACCCCCUCCCCUAUGACCAUAUCUCCUAGCCGAGUGCUGCUAUACACACGAUACCUGUUGGACGAUUGCUGGACGAUACUGCAAAUCGGACCAUCCAUGCGUAGAAUUAGGUGCAAGCAGCCGGUGGAUUAACUAUCGUGCAUGAAUCGUCCAGCAGGCAUUGUUUGUGAAGUAGUUUCGCUCCUAGCCUAUCCCUAUCCGGCAUCACAUCCAUCAACUAUGAAUAUGCGUAGGAUCAUUGUCAUUUGGGAUGAUGUAACGCCCCAAGACCGAUGUGCCAGGUGCCUUCGAGUUAUUCGCUGCUGUUGCCAUGUCAUUUGCUUGCGUGUUGCAUCUUGUCAUGUCAUCAUGUGCAUUGCAUCAUCAUGUUUUAAAACUUGCAUCCGUCCCAGUUUCCUCGUUCCUUCCGUUGUCCGUUCUGAGUCCAGACACCCUUGCACGUGCCCGCGGCAUGUUCGAAAUAUUAUUUUAUAAGUGGCCGGAAAAUGUUCUCGGAUUGGGUUGAAAGUUGGCGUGUGGCCUUAUUAUAGUGUAGGUAGGCCGUCUGCCAAGUUUCAUCACAUUCGGAGUUCGUUUGAUAGCCCAACCGUUAAACUAUAGCGGCAUUAUAGCCGGUCUAACGUCGGACGUUUUCGGUCUCCGGAAACAGUCGCCGGGUCUCUCUCUUCUCUCUUCUCAGUCCAUUGCCUUCUGCACUACAUCUCACCGCCAGGCCCAGCCUAACCUCUCCCGUCAGCACGCGGCCCUCCUCGCGCGCGCGUCCGAGAAGUUGUCCCGGACCCGACCCGAACAGUCGUCACCAUCGUGUCCGGAUCAUCCCCAAACAUCUACAAAAUAUCUCCGUUUUCUUUGUUUGGUCUCCCUAGCCUAUUUAUCUAGGACCGUCCGAUUUAAUCGGAGGGACCAAAUACCCCUACCCAAAAUUCACUUGUUAUUUAAAGACCAAGCCCUAAAACCUAGGGGAGUUGUCCCAUCCAUCAAUCCCCAUGCCGUCGCCACCUUCCUCGUUUUCCCCAUCGACCCUCCCGAUCUCUCCACCCAACCAGUGAGCCUCCUCCCGAUCCCUUCCAAAUCAAUCGCAGUAGCCUCGCUCCGUUCGAGAAGAGCUCGACCCCGAGACUCCAGCCUCCUCUCGCGCCUGAGGGGCUCCCCGAGCACCUCGUUCCUGCCGGCUUUGACACCGAGCCACCGGCGAGCAGCAGCUGCAGAGCCAUCACCAGGCCAGCCCCGUCGCGCGCCAUUUUCUUUCCCUUCCUCCCUGGCUCACUUCUCCUUCCGUUCUUUGAUCCUUCUCUCUUUCUUUCUCGAUGUGUGCUGCCCGCAGGAGCCGCCGUGAACAUCACCGCAGCAGCCGGUCGACCCCGCCUCUCCUGCCCGUUAACCGCGCCGCCGGAGCCCUGCAUCGCGCCAAGCGCCGCCGGCGCCCCAUGUCCCGCCGCCCGGAUCCGUCUCCCGAGCGCCGAGGACCCCGUCGUCGGACCAGCAGGUCCACUCGCCCCUUGCCCCUUUCCUUUUCCCCUGGUUCUCCUUCUCCUCUAACCAUCUCUCUCUUCUGCUCAUGAACCCUCGUCGCCCGCUGCCCUCUCGUUCGUCUUCCUGCGGAUCCAGUCCUCCCGCUGCCGCCUCGCCGGCCUCACUCACGCCCCUGCUCGCCGGCGCCAAGUCCAUGUCGUCGCUGCUCCGCUUCCCUGCCGAACAGAGGACGCCCGCUCAUCCCAGCCGCGUUGACCGUCGAUCCACGACACCUGAGCACCCGCGGGUCGGCCUCCUUCGCGCCAAGGCCCAGCUCCUCUUCGCCAGAUCCGCCGGCCUCCCUCUGCUUCCAACUGGGCCAUGGCCCAUGGUGAGAAACCCCCAGCGCCCAUGUCCUGUUUCGGCCUGUAGCUCUAAUUCGGCCCGAUAUGUUUUUUUUCGGGUCCUGCGAAUUUUGCCAAUUAUCCAGAGAAUUACAGAUUUGCAAAAAACCCUCUAACUUCAUGCAUAUAAUUACUCAUGAACCAUGCAUCCAUUUAAAACAUGUCAUAUAUGUAACUUGACUAGAAUUUCAUCUAGUUUAAUAAUUUACAACUUUCAUCUAUGUUUAAAAUGUUUAAAAUGAUGUUUGAUUAAAUUUGCUCCUAUGCCAUGCUAAUAUGAUUUAAUUCAUAACUAAAUAACUGUAACUCGGAAUUUAAUAAACUUUAUAUGUAAAUGGGGUAGAAAAAUGCCUAGUUCAACAUGGUGUACUUGUUUUGCAUGCUUAACAACUCUAAAAUUAUGUUUAGGGCAGAACAGUACCAAACCUAAUAUAUGCAUAUGAGGAGUUUCCGGAAUUGUUGUUCGUUGUUUCCGGCCUCAUUUAAACUUGACUAGAUAGGUAGUUUUCAUUUGCUUCACUCUCUUUCCAUGCUAACAACAUUUAAUCUUGUUGGAUACAUAAACGAGAGAGAACUAAAUAAGUCAUGUGGUGUUUUCUUCAAUAUGCCACUCCAUUGCAUAUUGAGCUCCACUUAAUUUGUAGUGUUGUUUGUGCACUUUGCCAUGCCAUGCUUCAUUAAACCGGACAUGCAUCAUAAUUGUUUGUGCAUCAUGCCAUGUCUAUGUGUUGGUUGUUUACUAUGUUGUUUGCUUCUUUCCGGUGUUGCUUCUUCGGGUUGGUUCUGGUAACGUCGUGUUUGUGAGGAACCGUUCGACUACGUCCGUUUGUCUUCUUCAUGGACUCGUUCUUCUUCCUUGUGGGAUUUCAGGCAAGAUGACCAUACCCUCGAAAUCACUUCUAUCUUUGCUUGCUAGUUGCUCGCUCUUUUGCUAUGCCUAUGCUGCGAUACCUACCACUUGCUUAUCAUGCCUCCUAUAUUGUUGAACCAAGCCCCUAACCCACCUUGUCCUAGCAAACCGUUGCUUGGCUAUGUUACCGUUUUGCUCAGCCCCUCUUGUAGCGUUGUUAGUUGCAGGUGAAGAUUGAAGUUUGUUCCUUGUUGGAACAUGGAGAUGUUGUUCCUUAUUGGAACAUGUUUACUUGUUGGGAUAUCACUAUAUAUAUUAUUUAAUUAAUGCAUCUAUAUACUUGGUAAAGGGUGGAAGGCUCGGCCUUAUGCCUGGUGUUUUGUUCCACUCUUGCCGUCCUAGUUUCCGUCAUAUCGGUGUUAUGUUCCCGGAUUUUGCGUUCCUUACGCGGUUGGGUAAUAAUGGGAACCCCUUGACAGUUCGCCUUGAGUAAAACUCUUCCAGCAAUGCCCAACAUUGGUCUUACAAUUCGCCACCUAGCCUUUUCUUUUCCCUUGGGGGUCGCGCGCCCAAGGGUCAUCAUUAUUUUAACCCCCCCGGGCCAGUGCUCCUCUGAGUGUUGGUCCAACCGAGCGAUGUCCGGGGCUACCAGGGGCAACUCUGGGCUGGCCUACCCGACGUCUGGCUCAUCUGAGUGUGCCCUGAGAACGAGAUAUGUGUAGCUCCUAUCGGGAUUUGUCGGCACAUUCGGGCGGUGUUGCUGGAUUUGUUUUAACUUGUCGAAGUGUCUUGUAGAACCGGGAUACCGAGUCUGAUCGGAAUGUCCCGGGAGAAGGUCUAUUCCUUCGUUGACCGUGAGAGCUUGUCAUGGGCUAAGUUGGGACACCCCUGCAGGGAUUUGAACUUUCGAAAGCCGUGCCCGCGGUUAUGGGUAGAUGGGAAUUUGUUAACGUCCAAUUGUAGAAAACCUGAAGUUUGACCUUAAUUAAAAUGCAUCACCCGCGUGUGUAACCAUGAUGGUCUCUUUCCGGCGGAGUCCGGGAAGUGAACACGGUGUUGGAGUUAUGCUUGACGUAGGUUGCUUUAGGAUCACUUCUUGAUCAUAGAUUUUAUCAACCGUGCCUUGCCUUCUCUUCUCGCUCUCAUUUGCGUAUGUUAGCCACCAUAUAUGCUAGUCGCUUGCUACAGCUCCACCUCAUACCUUUACCUUACCCAUAAGCUUAAAUAGUCUUGAUCGCGAGGGUGCGAGAUUGCUGAGUCCCCGUGGCUCACAGGUAUUUCCAAAACCAGCUUGCAGGUGCCGAUGAGUCCGUGUAGAUGACGCAACCAAGCCUUUGUGUUGUUUCGUUCUAGUUGAUCAGUAGUGGUGCCCAGUUGGGGUCGAUCGGGGACCGUGUCGCAUUUGGGAUUCUUCUUUUAUUUUGGUUCCGUAGUCGGACCUUGAUUGUAUCUGGAUGAUGUAAUGCUUUAUUCAUGUAAUUGUGUGAAGUGACGAUUGUAAGCCAACUAUGUAUCUCUUUCCCUUAUGUAUUACAUGGGUUGUGUGAAGAUUACCUCACUUGCGACAUUGCUUUCAAUGCGGUUAUGCCUCUAAGUCGUGCUUCAACACGUGGGAGAUAUAGCCGCAUCGAGGGCGUUACAAGUUGGUAUCAGAGCCUUCCCCGACCUUAGGAGCCCCAUUGCUUGAUCGUUUUUAGCAGCCGUUGUUGAGUCUAGAAAAAUGUUUUGAGUCAUUUAGGAAUUAUAUAUCGGAGAGUUUAGGAAUUCUUUUUACACCCCGGUCUCUUCAUCGCUCUGGUAAGGCAUCCCGACGUAGAGUUUUGACUCUUCUCUUCUCAAAUUUCACUAAAAAAAUUUUAGGAUCACGCGGGUAUCUUGGAAUCGUUCCGAUGGUUUUGUGACGAGAACAUUGUCUUGGUGCCUCCUGUCAGGGGUUUUGUGGCAGUGUCCUGGGGAGUUGAGCUCCGAGGUGUUGUCGUCACAAUUUUAUCAUUGCAGUUCUGGAAUACCUGAGUUUAGUACGCCGACAUCGAAAAUCUCUUUUAUGCAGUUCGUUGGUGAGAUAACCUCGACGCCACCCAGUACUGGGGCGGGAGUUCGGGAGUAUUUCCAUAACUUGUAUAACGGAUGCUUUUCGAAGGUUGAGGUAGACGAUUUCCGAAGGUUUCUUGGUUAUGUGUUGAAGGAUGGAUACAGCUGGAUGUAGGAUUUGCUAGUUUUGGGUGAGAUAUUAUGCUUCCCAUGUAUCCCCAACACCUGAUUGCAUAACCGGAAAAUUUCGGGAGUUUAUAAGUGGGAAUUUGAGUAGCUCUUAGGUUAUCUUUCCGUCAGAUGUAUGAUAUGAAAUUGGGGUUCGACGUCUAGUGGUCCGCCUAUUCACGGUCGGUUUUACAGUGGUCUCGUUGUGUCUUAAAGAGUCCUUGGCUAUGCCGACUCGGGUACGCUUCGUAUGUCAUGUGCACUGCCUUGUACAUGAUGGUGUUGUACGAUCGAGCCCAUGUAGGCCCCACCACAAAAACUUCGGACGAAAUCUCUAUCAUAUGUUUGUUCCAGCUUAUUCUGCAAGCCAAUCCUUUGUUUUGUUUUCAGUUGUGGUAUUCGAGUUGCUUCAAAGUCAAAUGUUGAUUCCAUCCCUUUCCUAAGCGGUGUUCUCAUAUUUCUAUGUGGAUACCAAUCCUUCUUGAUCAUCGAGUUUGUCAUGUCAAUCCUUUUCACCGGCGUGUUUCUCUUCAAGUGGAUCCGAUCAUUUCAACAACCGCAAGAUCAAGUAUCAGUUCUUCUCAACGGUGUUUGUUUCAUCCGUCUCCAAGUUGCCUUUGUUUUCCCUCCCUCCCACCCUUUUUCGUCAACGACUCAGAUUUCUUAUUCAAGCGUCCUUUUAUUGAUGGGAAAUCUCUCCAUUCUUUUCCAUCAAUGUUCGUAUCCGUUGAUUCUCAUGAAGAUUCUAACGGAACCUCAAGUUCAUCAUUUUUCAUUCUCUUUCUUCUCCGGUGGAACCAAUUCAAGCUUUCGGUGUUGAUCUCAUAUCCCUUUUUCCUCGUUUCAAAUACCUUCUCAUACCGGUGCACCUCAUAAUAGUUCACUUCUCGCUAUUCUUUUGUUCCGGAGUGCUGAAGAUAUCUCAGAAGAUUCGUAUUUUCAUUCCUAAUUCGUUCAAGAUAUCUUGAGGUUGUUAUCUCAUUCUAGUCUUUUAGUUCAACCGGUGCUACCUCCUUUUUUUUUCAAGUAAUCAUUUCAACGGUGUAUCUUUUGAGUGGGCCCUAACCCACAGGUCAUUUUCCCAGGAUCUUACCUGACUCUUCUAAUUUUUCCCGGAGCUACCCUAAAUUCUUUUGAAGUUUGACGUAAGAAUGAUUUAUCAUCAGUCAAAUGCCCUUGUCCAAGAUCUUUCUAAUUCUUUUCAUCGUUGGCUCAACUUUUCCAUUCUUCAUUCCGGUGUGCCUCAAUAAUUCUUGGUCGUGUACUCGUCGUCAUUCUCGGAUGUUGAAGACCGAAGAAGAGUUUCUCUUUAAUCUUGCUCUUUUCUCUUCAAGAUUCAUGAUUCUAGCUUGUUGCCAUCCUCUCGUAAUUGUCUUGAUCGUGAGAAUUCUUUUCACCUAUCCGGAGCAAUUCAAGAUUCUGCUAAGUUUGAUUAUCCGGAGGCCAUCAUUUCGGGUUUAUUCAUUCUCAGCUUUCAGCUAUCAUUCUCCAAUUUUACCGGUGUUUCGCUCAAGUGAUCUUUAAUCGGCUCGUGAUCUCUUCGUUCUCUUUUAUGUAAAUUCCCCUCAAGUAUCUUCAUUUGUUCUCUAAUUCUUCCCGGUGCUUCUUUAUUUUUCUUCUUCGUUCAUUUUCAAUUCUUACGGUGGUUCGUUCAAGAUUCUUCUUACCUUGUUAUCAUAUCAAUUCAUUUGUUGUUUUCAAUCCUACCGGUGGAUUCGUCGAAGACGUUCUCAAGGUUAUGUUAUAUCUCUCUUAAUCCUUGAUACGAGAAUAAGUAGUGUGCCAAAUCCGUUGAUUGUCAUCAAUUUAAUUGGUGAAGGAUAAGCAUAAUGUAAUUCUUAUUCUUGUUUCAUCGACUAAACUCAAUUCCCUAUUCCGGAGGCUCAUCAAAUUCCUGAUUUCAAUUGUGCAUCUUCUCUUUUUUCCGGAGUUCUCAUGAAGGUUCUACAUGAUGGUUCAUCUAUGAUUUAAUUCAUUCUCGAAGUGUUCAUCGAGAUUCUUUUCUAAGAAGCUCAAGCUUUCUUCAUAUUGUAAUCCAGCGUGCAAUUCUUUCUUCCGUAUCAUUGGAGGUGGUAUUAUGUCAUUCUUGAUAAUUUGAAUUCAUGUUUCACGAUUCACAUGUUGUCAUGAACGAGAUAUUUUAAAUCCAUCAAUCUCUUCAUUAGAGUUAUCUUCAAUAGAUUUCACCUAAAGCCUUCCAUUGGGAAUGUUGCCAUUACGGUGCUUAUCUAUGAUCCAAUUUACACUUCUCAUCUCGAUGAAGGAGUUUUCAUCUCCUUGUUCUUCUCAAUCCAACUGAUUGAUUU
rnacentral:lncRNA from 1 species